GAAAGAUCAGAACAUGUAAGGUCUUGCUCACCCUUGAAAGUCUCUAAGUAUAGGAAUACUGAUUCUAGAAUCAUCUCCAUUUAUAUUGGCUUAUCUUUUUGAGACAGUUGUUUCUGAGCUGCCUUACUAUGAAGAUUCAUUAUCUUUUCUUAGUUCUUCUUUUCUUUGGCCUCUUCUCUACAGCAGGAACCGAAAAUGCUCAUGUGGCCACUAGCUUUCUAGAGUGUAAAAAUCAAACAUUGUGUGAAUCUUCAAAUGAAGAAGAAGACUGCUCUCAUGCUAAGAAGGAGGUUGGAUUAUGUGUCUUGCGACUCAGAAAACAGACAAAGCAAACAGCCUUGAAGAAAUAGAAAAUUAGGAAGACAUGAUGAUCAAUUCCCUUAUUAAAAAAUAAAGUCAGUCUUCCUUUCUCUUUUU
rnacentral:lncRNA from 9 species